UGUAUUUAUUAGAUAAAAAACCGACGCCCUUCGGGGCUCCCCGGUGAUUCAUGAUAACUCAACGAAUCGCAUGGCCUUGCGCCGGCGAUGGUUCAUUCAAAUUUCUGCCCUAUCAACUUUCGAUGGUAGGAUAGUGGCCUACCAUGGUUUCAACGGGGUGAGUGCUGCCGCCCCCCGCGCCCGCGACCGCCCGCUAACCGGCCGCAGUAACGGGGAAUUAGGUGGGUGCCCGCCGACCGUCCGGCGCCGCUGCCCGAAUGCUAACGGCCGACAGGGUUCGACUCCGGAGAGGGAGCCUGAGAAACGGCUACCACAUCCAAGGAAGGCAGCAGGCGCGCAAAUUACCCAAUCCCGACACGGGGAGGUAGUGACAAUAAAUACUGAUACAGGGCUCUUUUGGGUCUUGUAAUUGGAAUGAGUACAAUCUAAAUCCCUUAACGAGGAACAAUUGGAGGGCAAGUCUGGUGCCAGCAGCCGCGGUAAUUCCAGCUCCAAUAGCGUAUAUUUAAGUUGUUGCAGUUAAAAAGCUCGUAGUUGAACCUUGGGCCUGGCUGGCCGGUCCGCCUCACCGCGUGCACUGGUCCGGCCGGGCCUUUCCUCCCGGGGAACCGCAUGCCCUUCGCUGGGCGUGCCGGGGAACCGGGACUUUUACUUUGAAAAAAUUAGAGUGUUCAAAGCAGGCCCUCGCUCGGAUACAUUAGCAUGGAAUAAU
rnacentral:rRNA from 1 species